rnacentral:rRNA from 1 species
AGAUUGAACGCUGGCGGCAUGCCUAACACAUGCAAGUCGAACGGGAGUAGCAAUACUCUAGUGGCGGACGGGUGAGGAAUACGUAGGAAUUUGCCCUUAAGUGGGGGAUAACCCGGGGAAACCCGGAUUAAUACCGCAUGACCUCGAAAGAGCAAAGUGGGGGAUCGCAAGACCUCACGCUUUUGGAGAAGCCUACGUCGGAUUAGCUAGUUGGUGAGGUAAUGGCUCACCAAGGCGACGAUCCGUAACUGGUCUGAGAGGAUGAUCAGUCACACCGGAACUGAGACACGGUCCGGACUCCGUACGGGAGGCAGCAGUGGGGAAUAUUGGACAAGUGGGCGCAAGCCUGAUCCAGCAAUGCCGCGUGUGUGAAGAGCCGUUCGGGUUGUAAGCUACGUUUAAGUUAGGAAAGUAAAAACGUCGAC